rnacentral:rRNA from 1 species
UGGGGAAUAUUGCACAAUGGGCGCAAGCCUGAUGCAGCCAUGCCGCGUGUGUGAAGAAGGCCUUCGGGUUGUAAAGCACUUUCAGCGGGGAGGAGAGGGGACUUAUUAAUACUGAGUUUCUGAGACGUUACCCGCAGAAGAAGCACCGGCUAACUCCGUGCCAGCAGCCGCGGUAAUACGGAGGGUGCGAGCGUUAAUCGGAAUUACUGGGCGUAAAGGGCACGCAGGUGGUGUAUUAAGUCGGGUGUGAAAUCCCCGGGCUCAACCCGGGAACGGCAUCUGAUACUGGUACGCUUGAGUUUUGUAGAGGGGGGUAGAAUUCCAGGUGUAGCGGUGAAAUGCGUAGAGAUCUGGAGGAAUACCGGUGGCGAAGGCGGCCCCCUGGACAGAGACUGACACU